rnacentral:misc_RNA from 1 species
AUGAGUUCUAUGCUUCAAAUUAAGAUAUGCCGAUGAGCAGUGAAGUGAACUCCACGGCCAAUGAAGACUGCGUAACGAUUGAUAUUAAUGAAAUGCUUAAAAAACUUGAAUCUCAAGUAUCCUCNGCAUUUUCAAAGUGCCUGAUGAAUUACGAAGCGUUAAUGAGAAGGCAUAUGAACCGCAGAUGAUUGCAAUUGGUCCUUAUCACCACGGUAAACCUCGUUUAAUUGCCAUGGAAAAGCAC